GGCUCCAGCAAUUCUGUCUCAGCCUCCUGAGUAGCUGGGACAACAGGCACCCACCAUCACGCCCGGCUAAUUUCUGCCAUUUGCCCGGGCUUGUCUCAAACUCCUGAGCUCAGGUGAUCCGCCUGCCUUGGCCUCCCAAACACAAUCUCAGCUCACUGCAACCUCGACCUCCCAGGUACAAGCAAUUCUCCUGCCUCAGCCUCCCAAGUAGCUGGGAUUACAGAGUUACCCAUCGUUAACCACAGUCUGAAAAUACUAAAUGAAAAUAUUAAAUUCCAGAAAUAAUACCAUCCAUUCACUCUACUUUCAGUGAUAUACUCAUUUUUAUUUGAGAAUCCAUUCUCCCUCACUCUUAGUCCAUGGGGCUCUGCAGGUAUGACUCCAUUCUUAGCUCUAGCAGUGACUUGUGACCAACUCUAGGGGUGACUUGUGACCUAGCCUAGCCAACCAGAACUUCACAUUCCCUAGACAACAACAGCUGUUUCAAGAAUGGGCACAUGACUUCAUUACAGCUACUAGGAAAGCUGACUUACUUUAAGUUUACAGUCAUCUUGCUGCAUGGACCCUGGCAAUAAGACCAAUUUUAUGUUAUUUUAUUUUUAUCCUAGGAUCCAGCCAUAUUUGGAGUCUGCUCUACACUGGAACAUCUUUUUUUUUUUUUUUUUAGAUGGAGUUUUGCUCUUGUCGCCCCGGCUGGAGUGCAGUGGUGCGACCUCAGCGAUCUCAGCGAUCUCAGCGAUCUCAGCUCACUACAACCUCUGCCUCUUGGAUUCAAGCAGUUCUCCUGCCUCAACCACCUGAGUAGCUGGGAUUACAGGCGCCUGCCACCACGCCUGGCUAAUUUUUGUAUUUUUAGUAGAGAUGGGGUUUCACCAGGUUGGUCAGUCUGGUCUCGAACUCCUGACCUCAGGUGAUCCACCCACCUCGGCCUCCCAAAGUGCUGGGAUUACAGGCGUGAGCCACCAUGCCCAGCCUACACUUGGGCUUCUUAGGCACAAGAUCCAGUAAGCCCUCCCUCCUCCUCCCCACCCCUUUUUUCUUUACACUAGUGUUUUCUGUAAUCCUGCAACAGAAAGAGUCCUAACUGAUAUAUUUGUGACCAUUUCUAAAAUCUCCAAAAUGUAAAAUUAUACAAUUAAGACUCAGCCUCCCAAGUAUCUGGGAUUGCA
rnacentral:lncRNA from 1 species